rnacentral:rRNA from 1 species
AUACGGAGGGUGCAAGCGUUACUCGGAAUCACUGGGCGUAAAGGACGCGUAGGCGGAUUGGAAAGUCAGAUGUGAAAUCCUACAGCUUAACUGUAGAACUGCAUUUGAAACUUCUAAUCUAGAGUAUGGGAGGGGGAGAUGGAAUUAGUGGUGUAGGGGCAAAAUCCGUAGAUAUCACUAGGAAUACCGAAAGCGAAGGCGAUCUCCUGGAACAUAACUGACGCUAAGGCGUGAAAGCGUGGGGAGCAAACGGGAUUAGAAACCCUAGUAGUCC